rnacentral:tRNA from 1 species
CUCCCUGUGGCUCAGUUGGUAGAGCAUGGUGUUUGCAACGCCAGGGUUGUGGGUUCGAUUCCCACCUGGGGCC